rnacentral:rRNA from 1 species
CAAUGGGCGGAAGCCUGAUGCAGCGACGCCGCGUGAGGGAUGACGGCCUUCGGGUUGUAAACCUCUUUCAGCAGGGAAGAAGCGCAAGUGACGGUACCUGCAGAAGAAGCGCCGGCUAACUACGUGCCAGCAGCCGCGGUAAUACGUAGGGCGCAAGCGUUGUCCGGAAUUAUUGGGCGUAAAGAGCUCGUAGGCGGCUUGUCACGUCGGGUGUGAAAGCCCGGGGCUUAACCCCGGGUCUGCAUUCGAUACGGGCUGGCUGGAGUGUGGUAGGGGAGAUCGGAAUUCCUGGUGUAGCGGUGAAAUGCGCAGAUAUCAGGAGGAACACCGGUGGCGAAGGCGGAUCUCUGGGCCAUUACUGACGCUGAGGAGCGAAAGCGUGGGGAGCGAACAGGAUUAGAUACCCUGGUAGUCCACGCCGUAAACGGUGGGAACUAGGUGUUGGCGACAUUCCACGUCGUCGGUGCCGCAGCUAACGCAUUAAGUUCCCCGCCUGGGGAGUAC